rnacentral:rRNA from 1 species
UUUAAAUGUAAAUUAUUAUUAUAUGAUUAGUGGUAGUUAUGGUCUUGAAAUUUAAAGAUUUUGGCGGUGUUUUAGUCUAUUCAGAGGAACCUGUUCUGUAAUUGAUAGUCCACGAAAAAUUUGACUUAAUUUAAAAAUUUGUAUAUCGUCGUUAUUAAAUAUUUUUUAAGAAUUUGAAUAUUUAAGAUUUAUAAAGUUAAAAUAUUUCAGAUCAAGGUGCAGUUUAUGAUUAAGUAGAGAUGGGUUACAAUAAAUUUAUUUAUAUGGUAUGAAAUAUGAAAAUUUUUAUUUAAAGUGGAUUUGAUAGUAAUAAAAUUUAUUUUAAUUUUAUGAUUUUAGCUCUAAAAUGUGC